CUAUCACCUCUCUCUUAGUUAUCCUAAACUCAUCUCACUCUCACCUUUUCUUUUCUGCAACUCUUUCUCCAUAUUCAUCUCCUCCAUUAAACUAGAAACUGAACCUUCUCUUCGACAAUAAUGGUGAAACAGAAAAAUCAACCAGAUAAAUUCUCGAUCUUAUAGCCCAAACCUUUUCUUCAUCUACUGCAAUAGUUUCUUCCUCGCCUUCAAAAUGAAAAACCCCAUCUUCUGAACUAUAUAUGUUCAUCAUCAUUAAAUAAACUCUUUAAUUUAUCUCCUCGUGAUAUCUCUAAAUACCCCAAUCAUUUUCAAUUUCAAAACCCUAAUAAUCGUUUAAUUCACCAGAUCUAUUCAAGGUCGUCAAUUUAUUAGUAAUUGGUGUUUUUGUAGACCAUUUUAAAAAGUUACAAAAUACAACAAAGUGAAAACCCUAUUCGUGUUGGAUUUCUUUAUGUGAUGGGUAAUUCUUCCUAUUACAUCUACAAACAGCUAAUUGCAGGCAUAUCGAUAUGGGCAUAUGAGAUGUAUCUACGGAGAGAAGGGACAAGAAGCUGCUCGAGAAAUUGUAUGGGGUUUGGAAGUGCUGGUUACUACAAUUUAUAUAUAAUUAACAAGGCUGGAGAGCCCAGCUUCAUUGUCUGUGGAAGAUCUGUUGGAGAAGAGUGGUAUUACUUGGUUUAUAUGUCAUUCACAUUCAAUUUUGGUGCAGGGUUUGUUCUCACUUGGUUGUCGGGUUCUUGAAAAUUCUGAUUGAAUAUAAUGUUUUCACUGAUCUCAAUUGCAUUAUAAGUUUAUAUUAUAGGAUUUACUAAUUCGUAUCUCAAAUGUAUUGAUCUCUUUUGUAUUAUAUUAGGACAUUGUCGAGGAUUUGUUGUUGGUGGGUAGGUUUUGAGGGAGAAGGAUCAUGUUACAAGAGAGUUCUUUUGGUGGCUAUAGAGGAUCAAGCGGUGGCGGUGUUGGUGCCAUGCGGUGGUGGACUAGGAGAGGCUGCUGGUGGAGGUAGAGGUGGUGGUGAUGGGCAUUAAUAGCCUAAGGUGCACAUGGAUACUGAGAAUGGGGAGAAUGUUGGAGAUGAUGAGUCAUUGCUCACAUGGUUUACCACCAUAACUUUUAUGCUCGCGAGGUGCUCGAUAGAAAUCCUGAAAGAAGUGAAAAGGGGUCCAAGCAACUGUCCAGGAAACUCUCAAUAAACACGAGACACCUAAAUCACUUGCAACAAAAGAGAUGGUGUGGUUCGUGGUAGAAUGGUAAAUUUUUGGAAAUAAAUAUUGUUGGAAAAUUUGGCUCAAAAAGUUGCUCGGAGUACUCC